rnacentral:hammerhead_ribozyme from 1 species
AUCCAACUUACGAGUUCCAAAUAGGACGAAACGUGCAUUCUGGAU